rnacentral:rRNA from 1 species
UACGUAGGUGGCAAGCGUUGUCCGGAUUUACUGGGUGUAAAGGGCGUGCAGCCGGAGAGGCAAGUCAGAUGUGAAAUCCGCGGGCUCAACCCGCGAACUGCAUUUGAAACUGUUUCCCUUGAGUAUCGGAGAGGUAACCGGAAUUCCUAGUGUAGCGGUGAAAUGCGUAGAUAUUAGGAAGAACACCAGUGGCGAAGGCGGGUUACUGGACGACAACUGACGGUGAGGCGCGAAAGCGUG